GAUUUCUGACGAAACUGCUAGCUGGCCCGCCACUCCGCGUGUGUGAGUGCCGGCUUGGCGUUUGUCAUCCGUUCGAAGGAUGUGCGCGCUGCCCUUCACUGGGUUGGUGCUGCAUGUGUUUCGAUCUUUUACUUUGAAAAAAUUAGAGUGUUUCAAGCAGGCAUUUGUUGCUAUGAAUACAUUAGCAUGGAAUAAUAACCUAGGACUUUCGGUUCUAUUUUGUUGGUGUUCUGGAGCUGAAGUAAUGAUUGCUAGGGAUAGUUGGGGGUGCUAGUAUUCAAUGGCCAGAGGUGAAAUUCUCGGAUUCCUUGAAGACUAACUUAUGCGAAAGCAUU
rnacentral:rRNA from 1 species